rnacentral:rRNA from 1 species
CCCUUCUGUCACAAUCUUUGUCUUUACUUACUGGGUGUAAAGGGAGCGCAGGCGGGAAGACAAGUUGGAAGUGAAAUCCAUGGGCUCAACCCAUGAACUGCUUUCAAAACUGUUUUUCUUGAGUAGUGCAGAGGUAGGCGGAAUUCCCGGUGUAGCGGUGGAAUGCGUAGAUAUCGGGAGGAACACCAGUGGCGAAGGCGGCCUACUGGGCACCAACUGACGCUGAGGCUCGAAAGUGUGGGUAGCAAACAGG